GACGAGUGGCGGACGGGUGAGUAAUGCUUGGGAACUUGCCUUUGCGAGGGGGAUAACAGUUGGAAACGACUGCUAAUACCGCAUAAUGUCUUCGGACCAAACGGGGCUUCGGCUCCGGCGCAAAGAGAGGCCCAAGUGAGAUUAGCUAGUUGGUAAGGUAACGGCUUACCAAGGCGACGAUCUCUAGCUGUUCUGAGAGGAAGAUCAGCCACACUGGGACUGAGACACGGCCCAGACUCCUACGGGAGGCAGCAGUGGGGAAUAUUGCACAAUGGGGGAAACCCUGAUGCAGCCAUGCCGCGUGUGUGAAGAAGGCCUUCGGGUUGUAAAGCACUUUCAGUUGUGAGGAAAAGUUAGUAGUUAAUACCUGCUAGCCGUGACGUUAACAACAGAAGAAGCACCGGCUAACUCCGUGCCAGCAGCCGCGGUAAUACGGAGGGUGCGAGCGUUAAUCGGAAUUACUGGGCGUAAAGCGCACGCAGGCGGUUUGUUAAGCUAGAUGUGAAAGCCCCGGGCUCAACCUGGGAUGGUCAUUUAGAACUGGCAGACUAGAGUCUUGGAGAGGGGAGUGGAAUUCCAGGUGUAGCGGUGAAAUGCGUAGAUAUCUGGAGGAACAUCAGUGGCGAAGGCGACUCNCUGGCCAAAGACUGACGCUCAUGUGCGAAAGUGUGGGUAGCGAACAGGAUUAGAUACCCUGGUAGUCCACACCGUAAACGCUGUCUACUAGCUGUGUGUG
rnacentral:rRNA from 2 species